GCCUACGGCCAUGGUACCCUGAACAAGCCUGAUGUCUGAUCUCAGAAGCUAAGCAGGGUUGGGCCUGGUUAGUACUUGGAUGGGAGACCACCUAGGAAGACCAGGUGCUGUAAGUG
rnacentral:rRNA from 1 species